CGUAGGUGGCAAGCAUUAUCCGGAUUUAUUGGGCGUAAAGGGUGCGCAGGUGGUUUGUUAAGUUUGAGGUGAAAGCGUUGGGCUCAACCCAAUUUAGCCUCGAAUACUGGCAGACUGGAGUGCAGAAGAGGGCAAUGGAAUUCCAUGUGUAGCGGUAAAAUGCGUAGAUAUAUGGAGGAACACCAGUGGCGAAGGCGGUUGCCUGGUCUGUAACUGACGCUGAGGCACGAAAGCGUGGGAGCAAAUAGGAUU
rnacentral:rRNA from 1 species